rnacentral:misc_RNA from 1 species
CCGGAGUCUGUCGAGUCCUCUCCCCGCUCUCACAUGGCUGUCGACAAUUUCCAUGAGUCCCUACCACCGGUCCCAAGUGCCAAGCUCCGCCUAAUGUGCAGCUAUGGAGGCCACAUUAUCCCUCGCCCGCACGACAAGUCCCUCUGCUAUGUAGGAGGUGAGACAAGAAUUGUAGUUGUCGAUCGCCACUCCUCUCUCUCUUCCCUAACAUCUCGCCUUUCCCGCAUUCUUCUUGAUGGGCGUUCUCAAUUCACUCUCAAGUACCAGCUACCCCACGAAGACCUCGACUCUCUAGUGUCUGUAACCACAGAUGAAGAUCUUGAUAACAUGGUUGAAGAAUAUGACCGCAUAACUUCAUCGGCGUCAUUGGCUUUAGCUCCCUCUCGUAUCCGCUUGUUCCUUUUCUUUAACAAGCCCGAAACUGCAGCAUCUAUGGGGCCACUUCUUGCUGACUCUAAGUCAGAGACAUGGUUUGUUGAUGCGCUUAAUGGUUCAGGUUUUUUUCCAAGAAAUCUCUCAGAUUCUGCCACCGUAGAUUGCUUGGUGAAUCUUGAUGACGAGCAUCGUCAUCAUGACUUCGAGGCUCAAGCAGAGGGUGUAGAAGGCGCAGAGGGAGAGAGCAAGCAAGAAAAGAAUAAUGUACCGGUGGAAGUACUACAUCAUGAUGUGCAGGCUACGAUGCCAGACUCACCUAUAGUGGAGAAUUGUUCUUCAUUUGGUUCAUCUUCUUCUUCCCCUUCAAUGUGCAACCUGCCGCCUAUUCGGGUUCGUGUGGAAGGUCAUCACAAAGUUGGCGUAGAGGAACAAUUUGCACAGAUGACAUUCGCGCAAGUUGUGCAGAAACAAGAUGAUGGGUGCGGCCUUUUAUCUGCAGCUUUGCCUCCACUUCCCACAGCAGUAGCUGCAGUUGGGAAUGUGGCAACGCUUAAUCCUGCAGGCGGUUCUAGCGAGAACUUGAGUCGGGUUUUAUCAGAUGACGAGAUAUCAGAUCAGGGUAUGCCAGUCACUUUUCGAAAACCACCAUUGCCUCUGAAGCCUGUGCAACAAAAGGCUGGUGCCUGCGGUUACAAUCUGCCUUCACCAGAUUCAGUUGCAAGUGAUUCUGCAAGUUCACUCUCCAAGACCAUGUAUUAUCAAGAACAAUAUCAAGCUGCAUUGGGAGACAGCAGGGCUCCUCUGAACCCAGAUGCAAAAUGUGAAAUUUCAGUCCCAAGCUCUCAAAUCCAAAUCCAACCAGCUCCAAAUCUCGGGUACGGGUCGCCGACACAGUUUGAUCAGCAGCAACAGCAACAAUUGGUACACACCAGCACACAUUUUAUACCCCAUCCUGCCACAACUCCAUUGCCAAUUUCAUCUUACUACCCACUUUAUGCUCCUCCUCCUACUCCAUCACAGCAAGUACAGCCUCAACAACCACUUGAUACGCAAUCCCCUGUAUAUGUAAUGCCUGUUGCACAAACCCAAACAUACAUGUCUGCUCAAUCUAAUAUCGUGGAAACUGCAGCUACUGUAAUAACCCCAAGCCACCCACCA